UAAGGGCGCACGGUGGAUGCCUUGGCACUAGAAGCCGAUGAAGGACGUUACUAACGACGAUAUGCUUUGGGGAGCUGUAAGUAAGCUUUGAUCCAGAGAUUUCCGAAUGGGGAAACCCAGCAUGAGUUAUGUCAUGUUAUCGAUAUGUGAAUACAUAGCAUAUCAGAAGGCACACCCGGAGAACUGAAACAUCUUAGUACCCGGAGGAAGAGAAAGAAAAUUCGAUUCCCUUAGUAGCGGCGAGCGAAACGGGAAGAGCCCAAACCAACAAGCUUGCUUGUUGGGGUUGUAGGACACUCUAUACGGAGUUACAAAGGACGACAUUAGACGAAUCAUCUGGAAAGAUGAAUCAAAGAAGGUAAUAAUCCUGUAGUCGAAAAUGUUGUCUCUCUUGAGUGGAUCCUGAGUACGACGGAGCACGUGAAAUUCCGUCGGAAUCUGGGAGGACCAUCUCCUAAGGCUAAAUACUCUCUAGUGACCGAUAGUGAACCAGUACCGUGAGGGAAAGGUGAAAAGCACCCCGGAAGGGGAGUGAAAUAGAACCUGAAACCGUGUGCUUACAAGUAGUCAGAGCCCGUUAAUGGGUGAUGGCGUGCCUUUUGUAGAAUGAACCGGCGAGUUACGAUUUGAUGCAAGGUUAAGCAGUAAAUGUGGAGCCGUAGCGAAAGCGAGUCUGAAUAGGGCGUUUAGUAUUUGGUCGUAGACCCGAAACCAGGUGAUCUACCCUUGGUCAGGUUGAAGUUCAGGUAACACUGAAUGGAGGACCGAACCGACUUACGUUGAAAAGUGAGCGGAUGAACUGAGGGUAGCGGAGAAAUUCCAAUCGAACCUGGAGAUAGCUGGUUCUCUCCGAAAUAGCUUUAGGGCUAGCCUCAAGUGAUGAUUAUUGGAGGUAGAGCACUGUUUGGACGAGGGGCCCCUCUCGGGUUACCGAAUUCAGACAAACUCCGAAUGCCAAUUAAUUUAACUUGGGAGUCAGAACAUGGGUGAUAAGGUCCGUGUUCGAAAGGGAAACAGCCCAGACCACCAGCUAAGGUCCCAAAAUAUAUGUUAAGUGGAAAAGGAUGUGGCGUUGCCCAGACAACUAGGAUGUUGGCUUAGAAGCAGCCAUCAUUUAAAGAGUGCGUAAUAGCUCACUAGUCGAGUGACACUGCGCCGAAAAUGUACCGGGGCUAAACAUAUUACCGAAGCUGUGGAUUGUCCUUUGGACAAUGGUAGGAGAGCGUUCUAAGGGCGUUGAAGCAUGAUCGUAAGGACAUGUGGAGCGCUUAGAAGUGAGAAUGCCGGUGUGAGUAGCGAAAGACGGGUGAGAAUCCCGUCCACCGAUUGACUAAGGUUUCCAGAGGAAGGCUCGUCCGCUCUGGGUUAGUCGGGUCCUAAGCUGAGGCCGACAGGCGUAGGCGAUGGAUAACAGGUUGAUAUUCCUGUACCACCUAUAAUCGUUUUAAUCGAUGGGGGGACGCAGUAGGAUAGGCGAAGCGUGCGAUUGGAUUGCACGUCUAAGCAGUAAGGCUGAG
rnacentral:rRNA from 1 species